UUAUUACUGAGUUUGAUGAUGGCUCUGAUUGAACGCUGUCCAAAGGCUUGACACAUGCUAAUCAUAAAUAAUUUUACAGAAAGGUUUAUGUAAAAAUUUUCCUCUUCUAAAAAAAUUAGGUGGUGUAAAGGUGAGUAUAAUAAACUUUGUUUCGCCUUAAAGUAAGGAAAAAAUUCCUUAUAAUUAAUAAAGAAAUACUAAUAUGGUUUUUCGCUUUAAGAUUUUUUAGAUUUUUUCAAGUAAGUAGUAGUUAAGGUAAUUACUUAACUAGCUGUGACUUGUAGUCAAAACUGAGAGGUUUAUUGACCACAUUGGGUCUGAAAAAACCCCAAUGCGUACAGUACAGCAGUGAGGAAUCUUGGUCAAUAGCCCAACGGCUGAACCAGCAAUUUGGGGGAAUGGAGGUAUAUAUCCAAUGAUGCAUAUAUACACAUCGACUACGUCGUAUAAAAUUCUAAAUAGAUAAUUGAUUAUGACAGAUUUCUAUUUAUGUGUCUCGACCAAUUCUUGUGCCAGCAGUCGCGGCAACACAAGUGAGACUAGUGUUAUUCAUCUUUAUUAGGUUUAAAGGGUACCUAGACGGUUUUUUUAGCCUGAAAAGUGUACAAAAAAACUAGAGUUUUAUAUGAGAGGUAAAUAUUAGGACUAUUGGUGUAGAGAUGAAAUUUUUUGAUACUAAUUGUAUGUAUAAUGGCGAAGGCGAGCCUCUAUUUAUAAACUGACGUUAAGGGACGAAGGCUUGGGGAGCGAAUAGGAUUAGAUACCCUAGUAGUCCAGGCAGAAAAUUAUGAAUGUUAUAUAUUAAAUGCUUUUAUAAUAAUAUCAUAUUAGAAACGCAGCUAUUAUUUAGUAUUGUAGUUAUUAAAACUAUAUAAUAAUAUAAUAUGCUCUUGUUAAUUAAUGUAUAAAUGAAAGUGUAAGCAUUCCACCUCAAGAGUAAUGUGGCAACGCAGGAACUGAAAUCAUUAGACCGUUUGUGAAACCAGUAGUGAAGUAUGUUAUUUAAUUCGAUGACCCUCGAAAAACCUUACCACAAUUUGAAUAAAACAUGACAAUAUACACGGAUUUACCGUAAAUAACAUGGAUUAAACGACUUAUUUUAUUAAUAGGUUGUUUUUUCAUACAAGCGUUGCACGGCUGUCUUUAGUUAAUGUCGUGAGACUUUGGUUAGAUUCAUUAAAUUAACGUAAACCCUUGCUUCAUCAUAUAGUGAACUAUAGGAUAAUGAAUUUAAAUAAACCCUUAUUUCAUUAGUUUUAUAUUAGCUGGUAAAUAUAAUUAAAACAACUUUUAAAGGGCUGGUAGAUUUAAUUUACUUUUAAAAAAAGGUGGUAAGUAAAGUGUUAAAUUAAAAUUUAAUUUUUAUUUAUCCUAGUUAAUCAUAUAACAUGAUAUGGGCAAAAGGUUGUGUUAAUAGAAGUUAACUGUAGUAUUAAUUAUACAAAGUGGAGUAGUUAGCCGUUAUAUUGGUUUUCAUAACAGGGAUCAAGACAAGUCAUCAUGACCUUAAUAUUGUGGGCUAUAGACGUGCCACAUAUAUCUGUACAAAGAGAGACAAAAAUGCGAAAAUUAGGUAAUCUCUAAAACAGAAUAUAAAAUGGAUUGUAGUCUGUAACUCGACUGCAUUAAACAGGAAUUACUAGUAAUCGUGUAUCACUAUAUCACGGUGGAUUUAAUCUCACAUAGGUACUAACCACUCGUCAGGCGCUGAAAGGGGUAUGUGCAAUAAGUUUGGUUUUCUAUUAAAGUGUUUAAGGUACAGCUUUUAUUUACUUAUAAUGUUGUCAAUAAACUAAAGAGAUGAGCCAGCAUUAUAAGCAGGUAGUAACAUUUUUUUUUGGAAAAUUUUCGUAUGCGUGACCUUAAUUGGUGUUAAGUCGAAAUACGGUUCGUGUAGUGGAAAUUGCACGGGUUUAAUAAACAUU
rnacentral:rRNA from 1 species